rnacentral:rRNA from 1 species
AUUGAACGCUGGCGGCAUGCUUUACACAUGCAAGUCGAACGGUAACAGGCCUUCGGGUGCUGACGAGUGGCGAACGGGUGCGUAAUGCAUCGGAACGGACCCCGAGGUUGGGGAUAACGCAGCGAAAGCUGUGCUAAUACCGCAUGUGAUCUGAGGUUGAAAGCGGGGGACCGAGCAGCAAUGUUUGGCCUCGCGCCUUUGGAGCGGCCGAUGUCGGAUUAGCUAGUUGGUGGGGUAAAGGCCUACCAAGGCGACGAUCCGUAGCUGGUCUGAGAGGACGAGCAGCCACACGGGGAGUGAGACGGGGCAGAGACUCCUGGGAGGGACAAGAGGGGAAAAUUUUGGAAAAGGGGAGAGAGCGUGAUCCAGAAGUGCCGCGAGCGAGAAGAGGGCCUGCGGGUUGUAAACCGCUUUUGGGGGAAAAAAAACGGUGUACGCUAAUACGGGGGGCUAGAGGGGAUACAAGCAGAAUAAGAACGGGAAAACUACG